GGUUUCCCUAGUGUAGUGAGUAUCACGUUCGCUUCAUGCGAAAGGUCUCCGGUUCGAUCCCGGGCGGAACCA